UACGGUCACUUCACGUUGAAACAACGAUUUCCGUACGAUCACUGACGUUAAGCAAUGCCGAACUUGGUCAGUACGAAGAUGAGUAACCAUUUGGGAAUAUCGGGUGCUGUAAG